rnacentral:misc_RNA from 1 species
GAUGAAGAACGUAGCGAAAUGCGAUAAGUAAUGCGAAUUGCAGAAUCCGUGAGUCAUCGAAUCUUUGAACGCACAUUGCGCCCCUUGGUUAUUCCGAAGGGCAUGCCUGUUCGAGCGUCAUUAUCACCCCUCAAGCCCUGGCUUGGUGUUGGACUUUAGUUAUAGCUUUGCCUAUCAACUGGUCUCAAAGAUAGUGACGGCGCCCCAGAGGGAGCCGGGUACGAGGAGCUUUUUACUAAGCAUGUAUCUGGGACGACUCUGGGCGACGGUCUUGUUAUACUUUUUACCUAAGUGUUGACCUCGGAUCAGGUAGGAAUACCCGCUGAACUUAAGCAUAUCAAUAAGCGGAGGA